GGAAGAAAAGGUGUGUGCACAAUUUAGCAGUCGGAAUGAUCCAUUCCACCACGUUCGGUCACGAUCGGAAUUAUCCACUUUCAAGAAACAAUCAAUACUCUUGUGAUUCAUGGGUUCAAUGGAAAAUAAUGGUCAAUCACCUCCAGUGGCAAUUGUCACAUAUCGACUGAAGGACAAGCAGGUAGCAAAAGUGAUGAGCCCACUGUGAUUUGCCAACAAAAUGGCUUACUGCAUCAUUUCAGAAGGAUGUUCAGAAACAACCACAUUGCUGUGGGUCUGGAAUCACAUAUGGACCCAGACUGGUUAAGUAUUGCAGUUCAUUGGAAAGUGGGAGAAUUGCGAGGUGGUCAGAACUGGUUACGCAGAGGAGUAGAGAUUGCUCCAGCUGACAUUCACUGAAAUGACAUGUUGUUGAAGAGUUUGCCAUCAUCUACAUCAUCAAUGCUACCUUUCUCUACAUGCUGAAGGUUCUCCUCCAAGUGUUGUCCCUCCCCUGGUAAAACCAUUAUAGUGGACAACAAACCCACUAUCCUGUGGGGUAUUCUUUGUGGGAUGAAUGGGAUAUCUUUGUGGCACCACCAGUCCAGUGCAAGUCAACAGAACCUUUGCUUAAGGGCCAAAUGGUCUGUUUGAAGAGAUCUGUGCUUGAGGAAUGAAUCUGAUGCCAGCAUAAUUUGGCCAGUGAGUGUAGGAUCCAGAGGGCAGUAAAAUGAACAAGUCCCUGAUUCCAAACUGACAGAUUCUGGACUCCCUGCACAAGGUCAAAGAAUUGGAAUUCUUUGGCAAAAAAUAAAAGCUGUAAUGGGUAUUGGACUGGAGUUAUCACACACCCAUUGCACAUGGCUACAGUGACAAAUUUACCAUUCAUGCAGGCAUUAGGAUUGUGACAAGAAGACUAGUUUGUGUCAUGAAUUGAGUCAAUGAUGCCUUGGAUUUUGAGUAGGUCUACAGUCUUGUGAACCCCAAGACUGGGGUUCUGCUACUUUCCAUUGUCAAGAGGAAGCAGAUAUGACCUGCAUGGUGCAAGCUUUUAAUGAAUUUGCUGAUGUUUCCUAAGGCAGCCUGCAAGGAACUAAAAGCUAAAAACCUGUAACCUUCAUUGUGAUGGGAAAUGCUACAUUGGACUUUGGAUGCACGUGCUGUAGGAGAUGACACAAUUCUGCAAUAAUCCCCCUGAGAGUUCUAACCUUUGUUAUGCAUUGUCCUCUGAGAAAUGUAGAUUUAUAUGUUUUUGGGUUUAAAAACACGAGAAGGAUAAAGGUACCUAUGAAUUUUUUUUUCUGUUUGUUUUCCUUGCAACAGCAGAUUUUAAUGCUCCUUGCUCCUCAACCACCUCCUUUUCCUCUCACCACAGCAUAAUUUUGAAAAGGAACCUCAUGAAGAAAAGUGCCAAUUGCCAGUUAAUAACUGAGAAUGUUGUACAAAUCUAAGUAGCUAAAAGUUAAUUGAGGGAAAAAAGGACUUCAGAACUUUUACAGCUUAUGAUUAUUGCGCAGGUUGACUGACUAUCAAUAACAAGAAAAGUGGUAAUGAAAAGACAAAAUUGUAAUACAGCAGAUGUUGGAGAUCUAGAAUAAGAAUUAAAAAAAAAUGGAGAAUCACAGCAUGUCUGGCAGCAUCUAUGGAGAAAGAAACAUAGUUAAUAUUUCAACUCCAAUAGGACUCUUCUUCAGAGUUUGGUUC